rnacentral:rRNA from 1 species
CAGCAGCCACGGUAAUACGUAGGGUGCAAGCGUUAAUCGGAAUUACUGGGCGUAAAGCGUGCGCAGGCGGUUUGUUAAGACAGAUGUGAAAUCCCCGGGCUCAACCUGGGAACUGCAUUUGUGACUGUAUAGCUAGAGUACGGCAGAGGGGGAUGGAAUUCCGCGUGUAGCAGUGAAAUGCGUAGAUAUGCGGAGGAACACCGAUGGCGAAGGCAAUCCCCUGGGCCUGUACUGACGCUCAUGCACGAAAGCGUGGGGAGCAAACAGGAUUAGAUACCCCAGUAGUCCCUGUCUCUUAUAC